AUUUUUCAUAUCCCUAUUCUUAUUUUUCAUAUUCCAUAAUUUGAGCUCUUUAGGCUUGUUGAACUUUACAAUUGUUCUUAUGUUUGAUAAUUUCUGGUAAUGGGAAUUGCGACCAGGCUCCUCAACACAGCUAUCAUCUUUCUAAUGAAUAGGAUAUCAUGAUUUGUGUCUGGAUAUGUUGGGCUUAGCGUGUAAUCAAUUUUGAAUUGGAUUUAUAAUUUUUCCAGUUAGAUCUAUUAUUUCUCUUAAGAAUGCUGAUAGGAACCACUCUAGCCAGUGAUGCAUAGAUUUCCUAUUCUGAUUUUGGUAUUCUAAUUUUUCUUCUCUUAUCAUCUGAGUGAUUAAUUGAUUCCUACUCCUAAACUCUCAUGUGAGUGAAGAUAUGUUCUGCAAACUCCUUCAAGAACCACUCCAAGCUAGGUCCUCUCCUUCGCAUGGGUUUUCACCUGGUUCACCGCACGUCGCACAAAACUGACGUUGGGGAGACGAACAGACGUUUAAUUGGAGAGAGGGUCAAAGCAUCUUCGGCAGGCAUGACUAUGUGACUGCUCAACUAGAAGGAUCGAUCCAAAGAGCUGCAUGCUGAGACAUUGUACUACCUCACUUUUCAUAAGCAGAACAAGAUUGUCACGCUGCCUGACGAAAUACUUCAAUACCGUCGAGAUGAUCAUCACCCUUUUUUCUAUCAAUUUUUUUUGUUUCAUUACAACCUUUUCCUAUUUCAAUUUUUAUUCAUUUGUACCUCUACAGAUUUCACAUUCUAUGUCUACUUGAAUAGUCUUCUGAAAUGUUGUGUAUCUUGUCGGGGCAAUUGGCGGUUCGCAAAGCUUAUGCGAGAAUUGGCUCGCGAGAUAGGUGUGGCUGGAGUCAUUUGUUACCAUGUAGUACACUUUUGAGGAGACAUGUCUUGAUGUAGUUUUUUGUUCUGUUUUAAGCAUGUAUGCCUCUCCUACGAGGCCGCUGCACCUGGCUUUCCUAUCACUAUUGCUUUCCUCUUGCUACUGCAAUGGAAAUGUGACACCAGUAAUGUAGCACAAGGUUUCACCUUUUUUGUCGUA